rnacentral:rRNA from 1 species
GACGAACGCUGGCGGCGUGCUUAACACAUGCAAGUCGAGCGGGAUCCAACCGGUGGCAACACCGGGGAAGAUCUAGCGGCGAACGGGUGAGUAACACGUGAGCAACCUGCCCCGAAGACUGGGAUAACACCGGGAAACCGGUGCUAAUACCGGAUGUCGUCAUUAGGCCGCAUGACCUGAUGAUGAAAGGAUUCAUCGCUUCGGGAGGGGCUCGCGGGCUAUCAGCUUGNGGUGGGGUAACGGCCUACCAAGGCGACGACGGCUAGCUGGUCUGAGAGGACGACCAGCCACACUGGGACUGAGACACGGCCCAGACUCCUACGGGAGGCAGCAGUGGGGAAUCUUGCGCAAUGGGCGAAAGCCUGACGCAGCAACGCCGCGU